rnacentral:rRNA from 1 species
UAGGGAAUCUUCCGCAAUGGGCGAAAGCCUGACGGAGCAACGCCGCGUGAGUGAUGAAGGUCUUCGGAUCGUAAAACUCUGUUAGUAGGGAAGAACACAUGCGUAAGUAACUAUGCACGUCUUGAUGGUACCUAAUCAGAAAGCCACGGCUAACUUCGUCCCAGCAGCCGCGGUAAUACGUAGGUGGCAAGCGUUAUCCGGAAUCAUUGGGCGUAAAGCGCGCGAAGGUGGUUUUUUAAGUCUGAUGUGAAAGCCCACGGCUCAACCGUGGGGGGUCAUUGGAAACUGGAGAACUUGAGUGCGGAAGAGGAAAGUGGAAGUCCAUGUGUAGCGGUGAAAUGCGCAGAGAUAUGGAGGAGCACCAGUGGCGAAGGCGGCUUUCUGGUCUGUAACUGACGCUGAUGUGCGAAAGCGUGGGGAUCAAACAGG